UUGAAUAGGGCAAACCCGCCGAAAGACGGGGACGCAAAGUUAAGUGUCUAACCGGAGCUUUCCGUAUGAUCGACUGGCCGC
rnacentral:ncRNA from 1 species